rnacentral:lncRNA from 1 species
AGAUGUUAACUGUGGCAUGACAGUCCGGGAUUCUGGACACGACCUACAUAAUCUUCCUUGUAUCUCUUUGUGACUUGGUUUCCUCAUCUGUAAAAUGAGAAAUGGGGAUCCUGUUUUCUGUCCCAGCCCCCUUCAGGGUGGUUGUGAGAAGCAAAUGAGGCCGCAACAGAGUCAUACUCUGUCAACCCAGGCUGGAGUGCAGCAGCAUGAUCU